rnacentral:tRNA from 2 species
GGGGGCGUAGUUCAGAUGGUUAGAAUGCCUGCCUGUCACGCAGGAGGUCGCGGGUUCGAGUCCCGUCACUCCCG